rnacentral:misc_RNA from 1 species
UGUGGCUGACUGUACAAAGGUGCUAGAACAAGAUGGCAAAAAUGUUUCCGUCCUUGUGCAGCGUGCUCUGUUGUAUGAGAGUAUGGAGAAGUACAAGCUUGGGGCGGAAGACCUCAGAACUGUUAUGAAAAUUGAUCCUGGUAAUAGGGUGGCAAGAAGUACUGUACACCGCUUGACUAAAAUGGCUGGCUAAGAGGGCUUCGGCAUAUUAGUUCUCUUAGCUUGUACUAGGCACAAAUGAUUUGAGAACUGCUCCCCUUCUCAUACCAAUUCUGGGGAACUCUUACUAAGAAAUUCUUUCUACAUUUUCUGGUUCUUGGUUUGUUAUCAAUUGUAUUUUUAUCUUUUUUCUUCUUUGCCACGGUGAACUUCCAUUUAAAUAUCUUGAAAUUGCUUUGUACUGGAAAUUUUAAGUACUGUAUAUUUUAGUCUUUUGAUCUGUUCUCAUGUUUAUGGUCAA